CUCCAGCUGAUGAGUCUAAAAUGGGACGAAACGCGCGUUCUGGGU
rnacentral:hammerhead_ribozyme from 1 species